rnacentral:rRNA from 1 species
CUACGGGUUGCACCAGUGGGGAAUAUUGCACAAUGGAGGAAACUCUGAUGCAGCAACGCCGCGUGGAGGAUGACACUUUUCGGAGCGUAAACUCCUUUUAUAUAGGAAGAAGAUGACGGUACUAUAUGAAUAAGCGCCGGCUAACUCCGUGCCAGCAGCCGCGGUAAUACGGAGGGCGCAAGCGUUACUCGGAAUCACUGGGCGUAAAGAGCGUGUAGGCGGAUUAAAAAGUCAGAAGUGAAAUCCUAUAGCUUAACUAUAGAACUGCUUCUGAAACUCUUAAUCUAGAAUGUGGGAGAGGUAGAUGGAAUUUCUGGUGUAGGGGUAAAAUCCGUAGAGAUCAGAAGGAAUACCGAUUGCGAAGGCGAUCUACUAGAACAUUAUUGACGCUGAGACGCGAAAGCGUGGGGAGCAAACAGGAUUAGAUACCCCGGUAGUC